rnacentral:rRNA from 1 species
UACGUAGGGUCCGAGCGUUGUCCGGAGUUACUGGGCGUAAAGCGCGCGCAGGCGGCGGUAUAAGCAUGGCGUGAAAGCCCCAGGCUCAACCUGGGAGGGUCGUCGUGGACUGUACCGCUUGAGGGCGGUAGGGGCUGGUGGAAUGCCUGGUGUAGUGGUGAAAUGCGUAGAUAUCUGGAGGAAUACCGGUGGCGAAGGCGGCAUCCUGGACCGGCAUUGACGCUGAGGAGCGAAAGCCAGGGGAGCAAACGGG